AGGGUUUGAUUUAGGAUUUGGAUUAGGAUUUGGUUAGGGUUUGAUUUAGGGUUUGGAUUAGGGUUUGGAUUAGGGUUUAGGAUUUGGUUAGGAUUUGGAUUAGGGUUUAGGGUUUGGUUAGGAUUUAAGGUUGGAUUAGAGUUUGGAUUAGGAUUUAGGAUUUGAUUAGGAUUUGAUUUAGGAUUUGGAUUAGGGUUUGGAUUAGGGUUUAAGAUUUGGUUAGUAUUUGAUUUAGGAUUUGGAUUAGGAUUUGAUUUAAGGUUUGGUUUAGGGUUUAGGAUUUGAUUUAAGGUUUGAUUUAGGGUUUAGGAUUUGGAUUAGGAUUUAGGGUUGGAUUAGAGUUUGAAUUAGGAUUUAGGGUUUAGGGUUUGAUUUAGGGUUUGAUUUAGGAUUUGGUUUAGGGUUUGGGAUUUAAAAUAGGGUUUGAUUUAGGAUUUAAUUUAAGGUUUAUUUAGGAUUUGACUUAGGGUUUAGGAUUUAUUAGGGUUUAAGAUUUAAUUAGAUUUAAUCUAAAGUUUGAGUGAAAUUCAAUAGGGUUUUAACUAGAAUUAAAUUAAGGUUGAAUUGACAUAUAUUUGAAUAAUAUUUGUGUCCAUUCUAAUAUUUCUUUAAGAAUUUUAUUUUUUGUUUGAAAUUUCUUUGAGUUGUUUUG
rnacentral:lncRNA from 1 species